UGCCAAUUAUCAAGAUAACCCUGUGGGAGGAGCAGAUUGGGAGCUUCGAAAUCUAGAGUUGUGUUUUAGCCAUAUUAAGUCUGAGAUAGCAACUUUAUAUGAAGGGGAUGUGUUGAGUAGGCAGAUGGAUAUAUGAGAAUACUUUCAGGAGACUGGUGUGGGUUGUAGAUAUAAAUUUAGGCACUGUCAGAGUUCAGAUGGCUUUUAAACCCCUGAAACCAGGAGAGCAGAUAACCUAGGAAGUGAGUAUAGAACCAGAGGAGAGCAGGUCUGAAGACUGGGCUUCAGGAAGAUGAGAAAGAAUGAACAGAGGAGACUCAGAAAGAGUGACAAGUAAAGUAGAAGGCAAACAGAGGAUAGUUCCUGGAAGCAAAGUGAAAGGUGUUUUAAGAAGAGAAUGAUCAACUCUUCCUAAUGUUGCUAGACCUAACUGGAUGAGGAAUAAUUACCACCUUUGGAUUUGAUAUUAUGGCAAUCAUCCAGGACUAUGGAAACACUCUUUCAAUGGAGGUUCCAGAUGUGUGGGCAUCUGAGUUUUGUAGAGAAGACUGGAAUGUGUGUACUGCCUGCUGUGGUAAAAGGAGCUCUUACCUCUGCCACCCAGCAUCUGCAUCUUGCUCCGGUUUGUGGUUACCGACUGUCAUGUGAAUGAACAUGUAUGUCAGGAGUCUCAGAUAUCCAGUCACCACGCAUUUGUCAAGAGCUCACACUGUUCUUCAAUUCUACCAGCGAUCAGGGACUGUGGGCAGGAUGUAAUCCCUGUGUGACUUGGAAGGAUUCCCAGCCUAAUUAAAGAAUCUAACAAGUAAAUUGUUCAGCUCAAAUGAGAAGUGAAUGGCACAUACAAGGAUCAGAGACGUAAGAACAUGGAACCAUUUGGAAAACUGCACAUACAUCGAUCUGACUGGAGUAGAGCAUUCCUCUAGGGGUGCUGAUAGGGCCCAUAUUCUGAGGUAGAAGCCUGAGUACUACUCUGACUAACCUGAAUUUUAUCAUGAUGGUUACAGGUUGUGGGAGACACAGAAGGAUUUUUAAGCAUGGCAGGCAUUUCUAAUUUCUAUUACAGUAAGAUCACUCUGUGAACAAUGUGGAAAGUAGGCAGGUCAGGGGCAAAACCCACUGCAAGCAGUUACAGUGCCACUGCAAUCAGCUUCCCAGGUGAAAACUUUAAGGGUUUUGACCUAUGGCAGUGCAGUACGGAUAGAGGACCUUCUUGUAGGUGAGACAAGUUGGGUUAAAGGUCUUGUUUUGACCUCCUAUAAGACUGGUCAUAAAUCUCUUACUAAUAUACUGGGGUUCAAGGUGUAAGAAGAAAGGUGUUUCUGUUUUUCCUAGGGCUUGGAUCAUGCGGCUUUUCUUUCACUUCCUGUUCUUCAAUAGACAUGUCUUUUCUGAAUAGUCCCAAGAAUGAUGCAUUCUAAAUGCCUGUAGACUUAGAAAGAAUAAAGAAUCAUUAGUCUCCAUGAGCAGGCCAACACUCUACUUCUACAUAGGACUCCUGAAUGGAAUGCCAGGGUAAAAAGACAUGCACCGAUUUAUAUCCCCAAGCAUGCUAUAUUACCAAGUCUACUUCCCCUGUGUUAUAAUAUUUCCAUGUAGUAUAUUUCAUGACAAGAGGUAGGAGCAAAUUUAAUCUCAUCCAUUGCACUGAAUUAAAUCAUGCACUUUUGAAAUAUGCAUCUUAAAUUACUAACAAUUUGGGUUAGUGCUGUUUCCAUAAAAUGUGCUAAUAAUGAAUUAUGUUUCAGAGAAAGAGCUAAUUCAUCAAGGCUAACCGAGCUGUUUUAGGACCUCCUAAAAAGUGCAGAUGAAUGUGAUUUCAGAAUCAUUUAUUGUUAAUGUAAAGACCUAAAUUUGUUGGCAAAAUUCCGCUGGUAUUCUUGGUGAAUGACUCCAGGUGCAGUUAUUAAGGUCAAAUAUUAUGGUGUCACUGUCAAGAUUUUUUUUCUCCUAUAAAAACUGAGGAAGGAUUAUGGAUGUCUUAAUGUAGAGGUCCCUAAUGAACUAUGCCCCACCUGCAGCUGUUAAGUCAAGAUUCAUCUCAAUAAAAAUGUGUGCUUAUCAAAGUUCCAAUUGUAGUCUUAACAAAAUCAGGGCCUUAUCGCUUAUAAAAUCAUAAAAUUAUAGGCUUAGGAAGGAAGUUACAUAG